AUCCAGCUGACGAGUCUCAUAUGGAACGAAACGAGCGUCCUGGAU
rnacentral:hammerhead_ribozyme from 1 species